rnacentral:rRNA from 1 species
AUGACAGUAGCUACACGGCCUAUGAACGAUGUUCCCUCCCCAACAACGCCUUUGCUUGAGAAAAGUUGUUCUCUUGUUGAAAUGAGAGAGAUAAGGCACUGUGGUUGUGAUUGUUAUGAUGGGAACGAUGUUCCUCAUGGUCCCAGUAAUGUUGAUAACAAGUACAGACAAACUACAGGGUACCAAGUAGAGACAAACCGCAGGGUACAAGUACAGACACUGUGUGUCCACGUAGGUAGCCACAUGGCAUUGGUCCAUGACGGACUGUUCUGUCACGGCCUAGUUUGGGCUUGGGCGGCCUGA